GGUAAAUAUAUAUACACUGGAAGGUAGAAGAGCGAAAUGGUUAAGAGCAACCAUCUGAGUACAGGUCCGGCUGUCAUUUACUGGUCAGUUGGUCUGGGUCACCUACUCAAGCCAGCUUCCCUAUGGGGUUCUAUGAGGAUGAGCUGAGAUGACACUUGUAAAAUUCUUGAGUAUGAUGUAGAACUCUGGAGUAUGACUCCAGGUUCCCAGGCUAGAAAAUGUUCAACAUCAUCUGCCAUGAUUAAGCUUUUAAAAAUGGGCCUCCUUGGGUAUGUGUGCAAGGAAGAAGAGAUGGCAUAAGUGUAGACUUCCUUUUUAAAAAAAAAAAAAACAAAAGACAAGUCUUUGUGUACUUUCACCCUGCAGGCAUUUUGGAAGCAAGCUUAGAUCUCUCAUUGCACUAGAUCUGCAAUUGAGAGUCAACUAUAAAAAAAGCAAUGGCUCAAAGGUGGAUUUCUUGGUUAGGGUCCUUACGCAUGAAACAUGCACAUG
rnacentral:lncRNA from 1 species